UACACUCCUACGGGAGGCAGCAGUGGGGAAUAUUGGACAAUGGGCGCAAGCCUGAUCCAGCCAUGCCGCGUGAGUGAUGAAGGCCCUAGGGUUGUAAAGCUCUUUCACCGGUGAAGAUAAUGACGGAAACCGGAGAAGAAGCCCCGGCUAACUUCGUGCCAGCAGCCGCGGUAAUACGAAGGGGGCUAGCGUUGUUCGGCUUUACUGGGCGUAAAGCGCACGUAGGCGGACUAUUAAGUCAGGGGUGAAAUCCCGGGGCUCAACCCCGGAACUGCCUUUGAUACUGGUAGUCUUGAGUUCGAGAGAGGUGAGUGGAAUUCCGAGUGUAGAGGUGAAAUUCGUAGAUAUUCGGAGGAACACCAGUGGCGAAGGCGGCUCACUGGCUCGAUACUGACGCUGAGGUGCGAAAGCGUGGGGAGCAAACAGGAUUAGAAACCCUGGUAGUCCCAUGA
rnacentral:rRNA from 1 species